AUAUCAAUAAGCGGAGGAAAAGAAACUAACAAGGAUUCCCCUAGUAACUGCGAGUGAAGCGGGAAAAGCUCAAAUUUAAAAUCUGGCGGUCCUUGCGGCCGUCCGAGUUGUAAUUUAGAGAAGUGUUAUCCGCGCUGGACCGUGUACAAGUCUCCUGGAAUGGAGCGUCAUAGAGGGUGAGAAUCCCGUCUUUGACACGGACUGCCAGGGCAUUGUGAUGCGCUCUCGAAGAGUCGAGUUGUUUGGGAAUGCAGCUCAAAAUGGGUGGUAAAUUCCAUCUAAAGCUAAAUAUUGGGGAGAGACCGAUAGCGAACAAGUACCGUGAGGGAAAGAUGAAAAGAACUUUGGAAAGAGAGUUAAACAGUACGUGAAAUUGCUGAAAGGGAAACGCUUGAAGUCAGUCGCGUCGUUCAGGACUCAGCCUUGCUUUGCUUGGUGUACUUUCUGUUCGACGGGUCAGCAUCAAUUUUGGUCGGUGGAUAAAGGCUCAGAGAAUGUGGCAUCUUCGGGUGUGUUAUAGCUCUGGGUCGCAUACAUCGGCUGGGAUUGAGGAACUCAGCACGCCGCAAGGCCGGGUACUUGUACCACGUACGUGCUUAGGAUGCUGGCAUAAUGGCUUUAAUCGA
rnacentral:rRNA from 1 species